rnacentral:tRNA from 1 species
GAGCUCAACUGGUGUAAUGGGAACUGCUAAUUACCUAUGGCUACAGUUCAAUUCUGUAGUUUGCUCA